CCUACGGGAGACAGCAGUGAGGAAUAUUGGUCAAUGGACGCAAGUCUGAACCAGCCAUGCCGCGUGCAGGAAGACGGCUCUAUGAGUUGUAAACUGCUUUUGUACGAGGGUAAAUCCCGAUACGUGUAUCGGGUUGAAAGUAUCGUACGAAUAAGUAUCAGCUAACUCCGUGCCAUAAGCCGCGGUAAUACGGAGGAUUCAAUCGUUAUACGGAUUUAUUGGUGUUAAAGGGUGCGUAGGUGGUUCGAUAAGUUAGAGGUGAAAUCCCGGGGCUCAACUCCGGCACUGCCUCUGAUAAUGACUGGCUAGAGUUUAGAUGCGGUAGGAGGAAUGUAUGGUGUAGCGGUGAA
rnacentral:rRNA from 1 species